rnacentral:rRNA from 1 species
GAUCCUGCUCAGGACGAACGCUGGCGGCGCGCCUAACACAUGCAAGUCGAACGGGAGAGAGGGAGCUUGCUUCCUUGAUCGAGUGGCGAACGGGUGAGUAACGCGUGAGGAACCUGCCUCAAAGAGGGGGACAACAGUUGGAAACGACUGCUAAUACCGCAUAAGCCCACGACCCGGCAUCGGGAAGAGGGAAAAGGAGCAAUCCGCUUUGAGAUGGCCUCGCGUCCGAUUAGCUAGUUGGUGAGGUAA